ACGAACGCUGGCGGCAGGCCUAACACAUGCAAGUCGAACGCCCUGGCAACAGGGAGUGGCAGACGGGUGAGUAACGCGUGGGAAUCUACCUUGUGGUACGGAACAACCAAGGGAAACUUUGGCUAAUACCGUAUGAGCCCUUCGGGGGAAAGAUUUAUCGCCAUAAGAUGAGCCCGCGUAGGAUUAGCUAGUUGGUGAGGUAAUGGCUCACCAAGGCGACGAUCCUUAGCUGGUCUGAGAGGAUGACCAGCCACACUGGGACUGAGACACGGCCCAGACUCCUACGGGAGGCAGCAGUGGGGAAUAUUGGACAAUGGGCGCAAGCCUGAUCCAGCCAUGCCGCGUGUGUGAUGAAGGCCUUAGGGUUGUAAAGCACUUUCGCCGAUGAAGAUAAUGACUGUAGUCGGAGAAGAAGCCCCGGCUAACUUCGU
rnacentral:rRNA from 1 species